GGGCCCGUAGCUCAGCUGGAUAGAGCAGCUGUUUCCUAAACAGCAGGUCGGCCGUUCAAAUCGGCCCGGGCCUA
rnacentral:tRNA from 1 species